UACAGAGGGUGCGAGCGUUGUCCGGAAUUAUUGGGCGUAAAGCGCGCGCAGGCGGUCUUUUAAGUCUGAUGUGAAAGCCCACGGCUCAACCGUGGAGGGUCAUUGGAAACUGGGAGACUUGAGUGCAGAAGAGAAGAGUGGAAUUCCACGUGUAGCGGUGAAAUGCGUAGAGAUGUGGAGGGACACCAGUGGCGAAGGCGACUCUUUGGUCUGUAACUGACGCUGAGGCGCGAAAGCGUGGGGAGCAAACAGG
rnacentral:rRNA from 1 species